rnacentral:lncRNA from 1 species
GGACACGUACCGCCCUCCCCUAAGUGGAUGAGCAUGUCCAAGGUAGGAGAAAAGCACCAUGGUUAAUAUAAACAUGCGAAGCCACUUACUGCAUUGAUAACACUCCAGCAUUCUGCAAGGGUUUCACUUCAGUUUCAGAAAACUAUCUCAAAGCAAUCGAUGCCACAGCUUUGCUAUACCUUGAGUCUACUACAAAAUCCAUGACUUUGAGUGAUUUUUUUUUUUCAAUCAGUUGUUCCUCAUGAACUGCAUAGCAGUCAUCUGUGUGUUUGAGUAGUACUUUGCCAUACAGAAAUUGAGGUUAUUGUUUAAGCUUACUUACCGUGCUAUCACCAGACAGAUCAGCACUUGUCUGUUAAAUACCACACCUGCUGUAAGCACAUCCCAGAAUAGGUUAUGCCUGUUUCUGCAAUGCCAGUAUAUUUAUUGUGUUAUUUUUAGAUUGGGAUCCUCUUUAACUGAAGCCUUUAUACAUAUCACUAUUUCCUAAACGUUUAUUUCUGAUUUCAUACUGGAUUGUUCUUCCUAAACGUAAACAUUUCUGCCCUUGUCCUUGCAGAUUUUCAUCUUGUUGAAUCAUUGCUUUGGUUCGUCAGGCUCAUUUUGAAUUCUCUUCUUGUCUUCAGAGUGUUUGAAAAUCUUCCCAGGGUGUUUCACCUGCAUGUUUUAACACUGCAUGCUCUAAUCUGCUUAGCAAAUUAUUAAUGCAGCUGUUGAACAGUCCUGUGCUGAGAGGAGAUCCCUGAUUCCGCAAAGGAAUUGUCCCUGUGUUUGUCAAGGAGAUACUUUGAAUGCAAACACUGAAAGAGGUAAGCUUGCCAAUCGAAACAUCACUGCACCUCCGGGGAGUGCGGUGUUUGGGAUGGUGCUACAGAUGUCUCAGUGAUGCUUCAUUAACUACUUCAAUGAGUUUCUUAAGGAUUACAGGCGCUGGCUACUUGGGUAAUGUGAAUUUCCUCCAUCCUGCUAUUCCCCUAUUAUGACCUAUGUUCUCCAAAUCCCUUUUAAAACGAAUGCUGGGUCUCAAUUAAGCAAGAGGUGGGGGUGACAUGACAUGCUCAGUCUUUGCAAUCUGCUGUCUGCUGAGCACAAAAACUUUUGCUAAUGUUAGUCACCGAGUCUGUGUAAACAACAAAAAAGACGGUUUGUCAAAACAAAGAUGUGUUGUGAUUUGAGCUUGGAAAGUUAAUGGCAGACUGUGGUCAUGGGUGCAGUGGUUGCAUUUUGGGGUACAUCAAAUGUUGGCUUAGGGGCUCGGGUGGCUUUCAGGAAAGGUCUGUGGGCUAGCCGAGGAAGGACACAAUCCUGCAGCAGCUCUCCUGUUACCCCCUGAAGGUUUACAGAUAGCUUUGACACAGUAGGAUGCUUUUGUAGUGGCCUGCAUCUUGCUCUCAAAGGGUUGUGGCAUUUCCUCAGUAUCACAUUCAGCGUGUAAAACUAAACACACUGGUCUGGUGUAAACUUGUUCUGAUCAUUCAAACGUUAACCCAAGAAUUUUUGGGGUUUUUCUUUGUUCCUGCAAGCUUCGUAUUGGACCAGGGGUUGGUCACCCUGUCCUUCUGCAGCUGGCAUAAAUUCACCAUGAAAACACGAAGCUAACCUAAACCUGAUUGCAUGUAUUAGAUGAUGUGUAUAAAUACGAUGGCAUGUGAUGCCUGUUCAGGAUUACAGCUCUGAUGGGCUGCGAUCUGAUGCCGGGUGGGUCCGCCUGAUUGCCUGAUGCAGCGGCAGACCAUGCCAUGGCGAGGAGGAGGUGUGGGGGUUUGUGGCUCGGGUGCGUGUCACUGAGGCACAGCCCCGGCCAUGACGCCAGGCUCGUCCCCGCUGAGGGCUGAGCGAUGGGGUGCAGAUGUGUGUAAACAUAAGGCGGCUCUGGGGCUGGCUGAAUACUGCAGCUGAGCAGCAAUUAACAGUUUAUUAAUUAUGUUUGGCUGGGAGAGACACGCGUGAGGACCCGUGAGGGGUGUGAGCACCACCAAGACA